rnacentral:rRNA from 1 species
GAUGAACGCUGGCGGCGUGCCUCAUACAUGCAAGUCGAGCGAACAGACGAGGAGCUUGCUCCUCUGACGUUAGCGGCGGACGGGUGAGUAACACGUGGAUAACCUACCUAUAAGACUGGGAUAACUUCGGGAAACCGGAGCUAAUACCGGAUAAUAUAUUGAACCGCAUGGUUCAAUAGUGAAAGACGGUUUUGCUGUCACUUAUAGAUGGAUCCGCGCCGCAUUAGCUAGUUGGUAAGGUAACGGCUUACCAAGGCAACGAUGCGUAGCCGACCUGAGAGGGUGAUCGGCCACACUGGAACUGAGACACGGUCCAGACUCCUACGGGAGGCAGCAGUAGGGAAUCUUCCGCAAUGGGCGAAAGCCUGACGGAGCAACGCCGCGUGAGUGAUGAAGGUCUUCGGAUCGUAAAACUCUGUUAUUAGGGAAGAACAAAUGUGUAAGUAACGAUGCACGUCUUGACGGUACCUAAUCAGAAAGCCACGGCUAACUACGU